GAUGGUCGGUAGGUAUUGGUGGUAGCGAAGACUCCCCUAACACAGACACCACUAUGAUUUCUAACCUUAAUGGACACUUAAGAGAUUCAAUGUCGAGCUACCCUAGCAAGUACAAAUACUCAGGGGGCCCACUGGUUCCGUAUUUCCGCAAACAUGACUCAGCUAGCCAAUUUUCUAGCACAUACGGCUUUGAUGUAGGCCAUAAUGGCGGACGUGGAAAAAGCGACAACUCCCGUUUUCCUGUUACCACUGGGUACAGGGCUAUACCCGCCAGUUUUGCAUCAAACCCUGGCUACCACACCAAGAAUCCACUCUAUCGUUCCUACGGCUCUCGUGGUUAUCUCAGUCAAAGUACCAGCCGCAGAGAUUUUAGUGUUUAUUCAGGAACCUAUGACAACAGAGGUCACAAAAGCUACCAGCCGUAUUUCGUACCUCGCUCAGCUAGCGAAUCAUCUAUCUCCAGCCAAGACAACGGAGCAUGGAAUCCAAGAGGUGCAUAGCAGGGCAUCAGCUGGUAUCCUACUUCUGACAGCAGUUAGUACUUGAAUCGUCGCUGACAUGUGCUCAGGAACGUAGCACGAUGAUGACGGGCACUUUUUGUAACAGUGGUGGCUGGCAAGGACUAAACUCUGUAGAUGAUGCCACCGAAUGGGAAAACAGUGAUUAUGGUACAAUGCUGACAGCCAGUAGAGCAAGCGAAUCGGAUGCAGCCUUCAGUAGUAGCAAUACACAGCCUGGCAUAGGAGUAGCACUAAAAAUUGGUGCACGCUUCGCUAUUGAUGGAAAUAGAUUAGAGAUUGGGCACACAAGUGUACACGGCUACUUCAACCUCAAGAGAGUCUCGCGGAUUCCCAGUUAACCCGGGUGAAUUACCAAGUGAACAGAGGUUUACUGCGGCCGUUCUUAACGGACGCUUGCAUAUUCCUGCUGCUUAUGCAGCCACGGGAUCUCAUGAAAUCUUUGCUGAAUAUCCUAACAUACAAGAGGCUAGAUCAAAAAAGCUUUUGAAACUGGUGGUGGUAUGAAAGAGCUUGAAAGUGAGAGAGUUCACAGCCCCUUAAUUGAUGAAAGAGCCCCAUUUGGCCAAACCUCUGAAACACCUGAACCAUCCGACAUCACAGACUUGAGAAUCACU